rnacentral:sRNA from 1 species
GUGGGGGAACCCUCCUUGCUAGCGUUGCAAAGAAGGGCCCAGCUCCGUCAGGAAUCCAGGGAUGGAGAACUGGGGGGCCUGGGCCCCACAUGAGAUUCAUGGUAGGACUUGUCUGAGGGGCCCCAGUGCCAGCGACCCAGCCCCCUGUGCCUGGCCCCUCUGUGGGUCUCAGGACCUGGGUCUGGGCUGGGUGUUUGGAGGAACCUCCUCCCGGCUCUCAGACACCUCUGUUUUGUCUGCUGUGGAUGACUUCCAGCUUGGUCCCCCUGUGGCCCUGGCAGGAGUAUCACCAUGGGAGAGGGCAGGACAGGGGCUGGGCGAGCGGGCCUCCCACUAGACCAGGCUACUCCUGCUGUGGACCAGCUACUUCCACCUCUGCCCUUGGCUUGCCCUCCUCAGAGUUCUCAGCCUGAGCGGGCCCUGGGGACACUAUCACCAGAGACCCCACCCCUCAUACCCCCAGGGACCCAGACCCACCCCCAGAAGCCGUGUGACCUCCUCGGCUCAGCUGUGGGAGGCGUGGGCUCUGUCCCACGUGCUGCGGUGGCCACAAAGGUGAUCCAUACUGGGCCAGGUGCACCCCGAGGUGCCCCCCUGGACCACUGCCUCCCUCCCUCCCCCUGGCACCGGCUCCAGUCUCCUAUGUGGGGGCUGGGGAGGGGGCUGUUGGCAGCCAUGCCCCAGCAAGUAGGGGGCUUGCUGAGGGCUGGGCCACUGACCACCUCCCCGGCAUCCCCUCAGGCGUGUUCAACCCCAAUUCGGAGGACCCCCUGCCCGGGCAGCUCAAGAAGCAGCUGGUGCUCCGGAUCAUCAGUGGCCAGCAGCUUCCCAAGCCGCGCGACUCCAUGCUGGGGGACCGCGGGGAGAUCAUCGACCCCUUUGUGGAGGUGGAGAUCAUUGGGCUCCCUGUGGACUGCAGCAGGGAGCAGACCCGCGUGGUGGACGACAACGGGUUCAACCCCACCUGGGAGGAGACCCUGGUUUUCACGGUGCACAUGCCGGAGAUCGCGCUGGUCCGCUUCCUUGUCUGGGACCACGAUCCCAUCGGGCGUGACUUCAUUGGCCAGAGGACGCUGGCCUUCAGCAGCAUGAUGCCAGGCUACAGACACGUGUACCUGGAGGGGAUGGAAGAGGCCUCCAUCUUCGUGCAUGUGGCUGUCAGUGACAUCAGCGGUAAGGUGAGUGUCACCCCCUGCCACCAGCCAUCAUGGGGAGGGGCCACACCAGCCCCUUGUCCCAUGCCCCCCCAUGUGUCCCCAGUGCUGGGUCCUGAACUCAGGCAGUGAGGCCUAGGGUCCCCUCCCCGGGCCUCUGCUCCUCUAUCUCAAGAGGGGCUGCUGUGGGGGCCUGGCUCCUGAGCCGCCAGUGCCCACCUCUGAUCUCAGGGCUGGCUGUGGGCAUCUCGGGCAGGACAGGUCCUGAGUGCUCCGGGCCUUGCCCCGCCCUGUGUCGCCCAUGCCUGUCUCAGACUCUUGGGGGCCUUGCAGCCUCCACCCCUACAGUGCUGCCAUCUGGCUUCUCAGCAGGGACCGAGUGAUUCCCCUCUCCCCUCUACUACCCCCCACUCCUCUACUUCCUGGUGUCACGUGGAAGGCAGCUGCCCGGGUUUGCCUGUGACUCCACACCCAGCAUGUCUGUCCCCUGCCCCAGGUCAGGGUGGGGCCUCGGCUUCCGCAGGAAGUGGUCUUGGUGCCAGCCCUGCUGCCCUGGCUUUGAGCUGGGGCCCAGUGCCCUCUGGGUCCUGCUGGCUGCAGCUGGCCCUCGGGGGACCCCGCACACACAGCAGGAGGGGCCUGCCCAGGCCCAGUGCUGACUCUCUCCUGCCAUGCUCUCGGGCCCAGAGGUGCCAUCCAGCCCUCCUCCUCUGGAGGAGGUGGGGUAGUGCUGGGCCCACAGGAGGCAGAGGCCCCAGGAUAGAUGGCCAUCUAUCCACCCAUCUGUUCCUCAUCCCCCAGGCUGCAGGGCUCCCCACGCCACUGCUGUGGCCGCCUCACCUGCUCCCCCUGUCUCUUUGGUCUUGCAGUCGGCUUCUCUAUGGCCACAGCCUACUUUUAGAAGUGCAGCUCCGUUAGGAGCCUUGAAGGUACCCGGUGCGCGGGACAGUGCGGCCCGCCGCCCCUGCAUGCCCAGGCCGCACCCCAUUAGCAUCCGUGAUUCCUGGUAGCAUUUGGAGACUGUCGCUCAUGUGACGUGGAUCAUGACAUGGCUCCGGGGGCCCUGGCCAUCCCCAGCCAUAGUGGCAUUUACGAGGCAGAUCCAGGGUUCAGCUGGGUGGCCGCCUUCUCACUGGCCUCUCCUCCCCUCCCCUCCCCUCCCUCAGUCCUCCCUCCCCUCCCUCAGCCCCUUCCCUGGCGGGCAGCCCGCUGGAGCCCCCACUGUGCCCCUCCUAUUCCCCUCCUUCUCUCUCCUGCCCCCAUCUCGGACCCUCAGGCUGUUGGUUCUGAGUUCGCCUCCCGCUCCCUCCCUGUCCUUGCCAACCAUGCCAGUGCCUGGGAUGAGGGCACCCCUGAGGCCGGCGCUCCGAGCCAGAAUCCCGGAUCUGCUUCUAAAUGGCUUCCCAGUCACUGUGACCAAAUGCGUAGAUUUGGGAUCUUGAAUCAGGAAGCUGAUUCAAGUGCUGGCCAUCUGAACGCAUCUGCCCAGAGGCGCCCCUGCAGGGGGGUGACCCACCUGCCGGGCCUGGGCCGCUCUGUGCACGAGCACGGCUCGUCAUGGGGGCGCGGUGGGUGCUGCCUGUCUCGGGGGCAUCUGGCAUGUGAGGGCCCCUCUGGCCUCUGCGCCCUGGAGAUGCGGCUGCCUCCCUCUCAGCAGCUGUUCUGCCCAGGCAGGGACCUCCUGGGCCCAGCUGUCCAGGAAGAUUGGCUGUGGCCAGGUGCUGGUGGGCUGGGAGUCUGAGCCCAUCUUGGCAGGGCUCAGGGGGCAGCAAGCCAGCUGUGGGCCUUGGGGGCUCACAUGAGUGGAGGGCAGGGCAAGACCAGAAAAGGCUGCCUGGGGGAAUUCAGGAAGGCUUCCUGGAAGAGGUGGUACUUCCUAGGGCAGGAGUAUCACCAUGGGAGUGGGCAGGACACGGGCCGGGCAAGUGGGCCUCCCGCUGCACCUGGCUACUCCUGCUGUGGACCAGCUACUCCUGCCUGAGGGUGGGGCACACACAACCAGGGAGUGCCACGCCAGUGUCCCCUGCUAACGCCGGGGGCUGCGGGCCUCUGAGCAGGUGCAGGCUGUGGUGGGCCAGGCUGGGGCUCGAGGUCUCUCCUCCCGAGGGAAGGACCUUCUCUCCAUGCCCCUCAAGGGCCCCAAAUGCCCUGGACAGGUCAGGCGAGGGCAGUUUCUGCCGGAAGGGUGGGGUGGGCCAUCUGUACUUAGAUCUGUAGCAGCUACUGUCCCAGGCAGAGCUGCCCUAGGGACCCUGCUCCUGAAGGCCCUGGUGUGUCCACACACCCCCAGCCUGAGGUGGCCCAGCCCCUCGGACCGAGACACGCACGGCACAUCUGUGGCACGGUCUGGAGAGCUGGCCCUGGGGGAGCAGCUGCAGCUGGGCUGGGACCCCUGGCAACAGCUACGUGGGCUCCUUCUCUUGCAGGUCAAGCAGGCUCUGGGCCUAAAAGGCCUCUUCCUCCGAGGCCCAAAGCCCGGCUCGCUGGACAGUCAUGCUGCUGGGCGGCCCCCGGCCCGGCCCUCCGUUAGCCAGCGGAUCCUGCGGCGCACGGCCAGCGCCCCGACCAAGAGCCAGAAGCCGGGCCGCAGGGGCUUCCCGGAGCUGGUCCUGGGCACACGGGACACAGGCUCCAAGGGGGUGGCAGACGACGUGGUGCCCCCCGGGCCCGGACCUGCUCCGGAAGCCCCAGCCCAGGAGGGGCCUGGCAGCGGCAGCCCCCGAGGUAAGGCGCCAGCUGCGGCGGCAGAGAAGAGCCCUGUGCAAGUGCGGCCCCCACGUGUCCUGGACGGCCCCGGGCCUGCUGGGAUGGCCGCCACAUGCAUGAAGUGUGUGGUGGGAUCCUGCGCCGGCGUGAACGCCGAGGGCCUGCAGAGGGAGUGGCCACCCAGCCCGGGGCCUGCAAGCAGGCAGGCAGCCAUUCGCCAGCAGCCCCGGGCCCGGGCUGACUCACUGGGGGCCCCCUGCUGUGGCCUGGACCCUCACGCUAUCCCGGGGAGAAGCAGAGAGGCCCCCAAGGGUCCUGGGGCCUGGAGGCAGGGUCCAGGCGGUAGCGGCUCCGUGUCCUCGGACUCCAGCAGCCCAGACAGCCCGGGCAUCCCCGAAAGGUCCCCCCGCUGGCCUGAGGGUGCCUGCAGGCAACCGGGGGCCCUGCAGGGAGAGAUGAGUGCCUUGUUUGCUCAAAAGCUGGAGGAGAUAAGGAGUAAAUCCCCCAUGUUCUCCGCCGGUAAGCCCCUCUUGCCCUGCGUGGUCCUCCCGCACGCCCCUGGCAUGGCUGGGUCUGGGUCACCUGCUGCUGCUUCUGUGUGGACGGCGUCGCCUCGUGUGCUCGUGCUCGUGGCUCUGUAUCCGUGGCACUGUCUCCGUGGCACUCUGCUCCUUGGCUUGCCUGUGGCCCAUAGCCCCAGCCCUCCUGUCUGAGCUUGAGGCCCUGGGACUUGGGUGGAGCUGGUUUGAGGCCCGACAGGCUGGGAAGAACCAGCUGCUCUUGCUGAGGGUCUGGGGCCGGGACUGUGGCCUGACAUGCUGGGCCCCUCCGGCUGGGCGCUUCCCCAAACUCACCUCCUGGGCGGCUGGCAACCUGCAUGGCCCCUGAUGCCUUUCCUGGGACUGGGGGCCACGUACCAUCCCAUUCCCACCUCCCUCUAGGGCAGGCUCCAGGGGUCCCUACUGGGAAGUCUGAUGUGGGCAGGUAGUGCAGCUGCUGGGCGUCUCCUGCGCCCCUGGGACGCCUGGAGCCUGCUGAGUGCUGCAUGGAGUAGAUUCCCUGGGCCCCAGGGCUUCGAUGCUUUGAGCUGAAGCACCCCACUAGAAGGGUGUCUCCUUAGCCUGGAGGGAGGGACAUACACGGAGCCCGCCCCACACCACCCUGCCCCUCCAGACCCCCCUGACCAAGCUUUCCUUUCUGCCCUCACCCACGCUGCCUCCGUAGUUAGGAACUGAGAGCGGCGAGUGACAGGUAACGGGGCCCAGCCCCGGUGUCCCAUGCUGUCCCAGCCCAAGGAGGGCCCCGUGUGCGGCACAGGGCGUGGACUGGGCCCCAGCAGCAGCAGGGUGGGGGCACCGAGUGUGCCACGCCCGGGGGAUGCCUCGGGGUGGGAGCUGGGCCUGGCGACCCUCGGCACAGGGCACCGGGGACACCACCCUGAUCCGACUCCUCUCCGCCUCUCUCCCUGCCUCCCUCUCUCUCUUCUGCUUCUCCCUCUGGCUUUCUCACUCCCCCACCUCCCCACAGACACCCGCCCCCUCUCCACGCAGCGGCCGCUCCCCCCACUGUGCAGCCUGGAAACCAUUGCUGAGGAGCCCGCCCCAGGCCCUGGUCCCCCGCCACCAGCGGCUGUCCCCACCAGCUCUUCUCAGGGACGGCCCCCAUACCCCACAGGACCCGGAGCCAAUAUGGCAAACCCCCCAGAGGACACUGAGGAGCCCCGAGACAGCAGGCCUCAGCCGUGCAACGGCAAGGGCGCCGGCGGGGCAUACGAGGGGGCCCCCGGCAGCCAGACGGACGGCAGGAGCCAGCCCCGGACCCUGGGCCACCUGCCCGUGAUUAGAAGGGUGAAGAGUGAGGGGCAGGUGCCCACGGAGCCCCUGGGAGGGUGGCGGCCCCUGGCCGCUCCCUUUCCAGCUCCUGCCGUGUACUCCGACGCCACGGGCAGUGACCCGCUGUGGCAGCGACUGGAGCCGUGUGGCCACCGAGAUAGCGUUUCCUCCUCCUCCAGCAUGUCAUCCAGCGACACUGUCAUUGACCUCUCCCUGCCCAGCCUGGGCCUGGGCCGCAGCCGUGAGAACCUCGCUGGAGCCCACAUGGGACGCCUGCCCCCCAGGCCCCACUCGGCUUCGGCUGCCCGCCCAGACCUGCCACCUGUGACCAAGAGCAAAUCCAACCCCAACCUUCGGGCUACGGGUCAGCGGCCUCCCAUACCUGACGAACUGCAGCCCAGGCCCCUGGCCCCAAGGAUGGCUGGCCUCCCCUUCCGGCCUCCCUGGGGCUGCCUUUCCCUGGUGGGCCUGCAGGACUGCCCCGUGGCUGCCAAGUCCAAGAGCCUGGGGGACCUCACUGCUGAUGACUUUGCCCCUAGCUUUGAGGGUGGCUCCCGCAGACUGAGCCACAGCCUGGGCCUCCCGGGAGGGACACGGCGGGUGUCGGGGCCAGGGGUGAGACGGGACACCCUGACAGAGCAGCUGCGCUGGCUCACUGUCUUCCAGCAGGCAGGAGACAUCACGUCACCCACCAGCCUGGGCCCGGCUGGGGAGGGGGUGGCAGGGGGCCCUGGUUUUCUGCGGCGCUCCUCCUCCCGCAGCCACAGCCGCGUGCGUGCCAUUGCCAGCCGGGCCCGCCAGGCCCAGGAGCGGCAGCAGAGACUGCAGGGCCUGGGCCGGCAGGGACCCCCAGAAGAGGAGCGGGGCACCCCCGAGGGCGCCUGCUCCGUGGGCCACGAGGGCAGUGUGGAUGCACCAGCACCCUCCAAGGGAGCCCUCGGGCCAGCAUCCGCGGCUGCUGAAAACCUGGUCCUGCUCUGCCUCUGACCGUCAGUGGUGGGAACCUGGGCGGCUCUGGAGGCCCAGGGCAGGGGUGGGCGUGUUGUUUGCUCAGGAAACAGGGCAGCCAGGCCCCCAAAACUGUGUGUCCCUGGCUGCCCUGUGUCCCCUCCGCCCCUGCCUCCCUCCUGCCCCUGCUCCCGGGGAGGAAAGGCUAAAGCUGCUGGCCCGGGGCCCACGGGAGGGGCUUCGAGGCUGGCCCUGCCAGGCAGUUUUCCCGGCGUUUUAGGAUCUGUACAUAGAGAAAUAUUUAAAUUUUUAGAAGCAAAACUUAUACAACAUUAAAAUGAUACCAAGUCCCUU